UCCCUCACCCCCCAGGUGUCCCCAGGUGUGCCCAGGUGUGUCCCUCACCCCCCAGGUGUGCCCAGGACACUCACAGUGAAGAUCUCCACGAUGUCAUUGGAC